rnacentral:lncRNA from 1 species
UAUAAAAAAAUAACACUCUCUAAGCGUUCUCUCUCUCUCUACAACUUUCAAGUCAUCCUCUUCAUCGACCUUCCGGAGGGCGGCGACCACUAGCGUGUGCCACCGUCAAGUAUAAAAGCUUUAGAUAUGAACCCUAACCCUCUUCGUAUCCCCUCUACGAAUCUAAAACCCUUUCACCAAUCGAAAAAACAAUUAACGGGAUCGGUCUUUUCAGAAAACCAAUAUUCUCAUCACGUUUUAAUCACACCCUAAACCAACCAAAAAUUAGAGUUAUCCACGAUUCAAGAAGAAACAAGCAUGAACAAAUCAAAAGGUGUUCCAAUCAUAUUUAGUCAUAGGUCUCAGAAUCAACGGCGUGCGACAAAGUAAAGUUGCAGAUCGAGUUACAUAUAAUGAAGUUUAAAGCGAGAGAGAAAAAACUACCAAUAUGUUCAGGUGAAAGUUUGUUUCCUUGCCCUUGUUGUCUCUUUUUUCGUAUUCAGUUAGNUCAACAGUAUCGCCAGCCGAAUUUAUUUAUUCCAAUGAAGGAAUAGGAAAAUAUCGAUAAACCUUUAAAAAAUAGAAUAAUGGUCGUCGCAACAUAUUCGGGUUCGGAGUCGAUUACGCAAGGGGAAGGUAUUAGCACCCCUCACGUCCGUUGUACUCAACGGAACCUUUUAGUCUAAUUUGCUAUUUGAAUGUUAGUUAACUGUUAUUCGUUUCUUCGAGUGAUUAGAAUUGGUAAUAGAGAUGGAUGAAGACCUCAGAAUGGAAAAAGGGAGGUUUUUUAUUAGUGUGCUCGCGAAGAUACAGCAAUCUCCUGCUACGUAUCCUUAUGGUGCAAUAAGGAAAUCAGAGCAUUCGUAGUUCAGGAAACUACGGUUUUUGUUAGUGUCCUUUUAUGAACGACUGUGUAGAUCGCGUUCUAAAGGCUAAACGCUGGCUGUCUACUCUGGCGGAGCUUUAAGCGUUGGUUUGUUAUGCGCAUUAGAAAGGAUUAAUAGUAUUCUUCUGAAAGGAAUUUUAAGUUGUGGCCGCCCAGUGGCGAGAGAUUAAUUUGAUUUGUUAAGGUGUUUUAAGAACGACAAAGAUGAGCAAUGUGGUGUACACCAAUCGUUCAAUUCUUUCGAGGAGUACUAAGGCGUACGCCUUUUUCUCCUUUUCGUUCGAUUAUUUAAGGUUUGUUUGUGAUGUUGAAUAUGCAUGGUAGUGAGGCGUACGCCUUCUACUUGACUUAUUCAAAGGAUAAUGAGCGUACGCCACUUAUUCCUUUAUCCAAGUUUAUUUAGCGAUUUAGUCGGAAGUCGAUAAUUUGCUGCAUAUGGCGUACGCCAAUUAUUCAAUAAUCGAGAGAUGCGAGGCGUAUGCCUCUAUCUCCUAUCACCCGAGGUUUAAAUUGUGAAAGAUAUGUUUAGAUGUUUGGUAUGUGAUUUGCGAAAAAUAGUUUGGAUUUAUUCGAUGUGUUUUUAAUUUGAUGACGAGAUUCGAGCAUAUGGCGUACGCCAUUAUUCGAAUAAUCGAGAGAUAAUAAAGCGGAAGUUACUAUUCUCUUUUCAUUCAAAAUUAAUUAUUAAAAACAGCUUUUAGAAUUAAUAAAUAAUCUGGAGGGUAAUUUGAUUUAUGGAGUUUUAAGUGUUAAUUAAAUGACAAAAAAUUCGAGCAAUAUGGCGUCGCCAAUUAUUCGAAUAUCGAGAGAUAAUAAAGCGGAAGCUUAUUAAUCUCCUUUUCAUUUAAAUUAAUUAUUUAUAUGCUUUAGGAUUUGUAAUUAAUUGAGAAAAUAAUUUUUAAUUUUAUAGAGUUUUAAGGUGUUAAUUAAAUGACAAAAUUCGAGCAAUAUGGCGUACGCCAAUUAUUCGAAUAAUCGAGAGAUAAUAAAGCGGAAGCUUAUUAAUCUCCUUUCAUUUAAAGAUUAAUUAUUAAAAUAGAGACUUUUGGAAUUUGUAAUUAAUUUAGAAAAUGUGAUUUGAGUUAGAAAUUAUUUGACUUUUAGAAUUUAUAUUUGAUUUGAAAAAUUGAUUUGGAAUUGUAUGAUUAAGGUUUAAUCCGAUGACAAAAACUCGUGCAAUAUGGCGUACGCCAAUUAUUCGAGUAAUUGAGAAAUAGUGAAGCGGACGCUUCCUAUAUUCUUUUUCAUCCAAGUUUUAGAAUUAGAAAGUUUUAAUCAGAAAAAAAAAAAUUGAAUUGCACGAUGAAGUACUCGCUCGAAUUUGAAAAGGUUACUUUUUUUAUUUAAGAUUUUAACUUAACAAAUAAUCCAUCUUAAUUACCAAUUAUUCUUGUAAUGUUUAAGGUAUGCAAUAUUAUAAGACAUGGUGAGAAAUAGACUAUUUAUCCAAGUAGAAUUAUUUAAUUAUGUAUCUAUUAAUUUAGCUUACCAUACUUAAUCGAUAUAACUAAAUAAAAACAAAUUAAUCAAUUUAACUAAACCUAAUUUACUAAAUUGGUUAAAGAGUUUCACUAAAAUAAUGAUCAUAUGAAAAAAACAAAUAGAAAUAAAUCUAAAGAUGGGCCUAACUAGCCCACAAGCAGGGGUGCAGAUGCUGGAUGUGCUUGGUCUUAGAAACCCGAAUGGGCUGGGAGCUUAAAGGCCCAAAUAAUUAAAAAAAAAAAGAAAAAUUAUUCAUGAUGAUAAGAAAGGAAGUGGAAUUCCCACGUACUGACCGUUGUAUUCUUGAAAAUGGAAACGUUGAGUCAUUGUUCAUAAAAGUGUAUCAAGUGGCUUUAAUAGCCACCAUUAUUUAAAACAAUAUAUUUCUAUUAAUUAAGAGCCACCAUUAUUUAAAACAAAAUAUUUCUAUUAAUUAAGAGCCACCAUUAUUUAAAAACAAUAUAUUUCUAUUGAUGGAAUCAAGAUAUUAUUUAUCCAUCAAAUAUAAAAAAAUAACACUCUCUAAGCGUUCUCUCUCUCUCUCAACAUUUCAAGUCAUCCUCUUCAUCGACCUUCGCCGGAGAGGGGCGGCGACCACUAGCGGUGCCACCGUCAAGUAUAAAAGCUUUAGAUAUGAACCCUAACCCUCUUCGUAUCCCCUCUACGAAUCUAAAACCCUUUUCACCAAUCGAAAAAACAAUUAACGGGAUCGGUCUUUUCAGAAAACCAAUAUUCUCAUCACGUUUUAAAUCACACCCUAAACCAACCAAAAAUUAAGAGUUAUCCACGAUUCAAGAAGAAACAAGCAUGAACAAAUCAAAAGGUGUUCCAAUCAUAUUUAGUCAUAGGUCUCAGAAUCAACGGCGUGCGACAAAGUAAAGUUGCAGAUCGAGUUACAUAUAAUGAAGUUUAAAGCGAGAGAGAAAAAACUACCAAUAUGUUCAGGUGAAAGUUUGUUUCCUUGCCCUUUGUGUCUCUUUUUUCGUAUUCAGUUAGAUUCUGAUCUCCUUCUCUGUUUCCUUGUCGUUGCUGCUUGUAUGUUGUUGAGGGGUGGUGGCUCUUUAGCUCA